UUCCCCGGCCCUUGAUGCGGCGCGGCGAAGACCAAGCGACGGCGCAGCGGUGACAGGGUGAGGGGUGGCAGCCGAGCCAGGCGCGCGAAGCUGAGCCCUAGCGCGGCGGCAGCGCGUCCGUCUGCGCGCGGCUGAGGCCGGGGUGGCGGCGGGAGCUGAGGCCGGGGCGCACGACGGAUCUGAGGGCCGGUCGUGGAGAAGGGCCGGCGGAGGCUGAGGCCAGCGCGCUGAGGGCCGGCGGCUGAGGCGGGCGCGGGCGGAGCCGGUGCCCCAGGGGCGCAGCGGCGGGACUGAGGCCGAGGUGCGCAGCGUCGGCGACGGCCGGGGCGUGACGGCGGCGGCUGAAAAUAGGGCGGUUCCCCACCUCGGUUCUCCUCCUCGGCGCAGCAAAGACCGCAGCGAGGCGAGCCUCACCCUUGCGCGGCGAUCUGAAGCAAGCGCAAGGGUGAGCUCCGGCGAGCUGAUGCCAACAACACGGUUUUAUCAAGCCGGUGGGGAUGAUUGAGAAUGGAAUUCACUCCCUCCAACGCCACGCCUCUGACGAUGGGUAAAUUGGAAGAUUUACCAUAGGCAUCUCUUGAUUGUAUCAGUCUUGGCCACUUGAAGGGCAAUUGCUUUUUUGACAGUAGAUGCUUUCAUGCGUCAAUGGGAUUUAAGGAUUGAACUGAUUGGCACGCCCGCGCAUCUUCUAAAAAUUUAGGUCCUGCACCAGAGCGUUCUAAGAAGUGACUCCCAAGCCUUUGUGUGUGACAUGUCAUCGGGUCAUCUUUUAACGUCAUCAGACACCCAACACCAACCAUGCAACAAAGGUCAAACUUUUUUUUGCAAUCUAAUCCAAUCGAGAAGAGAGAGAAGGCUCACGGAGAUGAUGUCGUCGCCAUAGGUGAUGUCAUAGAGUCAGGCGACAGUUGGAGGAUGUGGGGCCCACCUAUCAGAGGGUGCCACCGGUGAGUGAAGAGCCGAUCUUGUCAUACGCGAGGAGGAGCAAUGGAGCAACAGGUACCUUUGAGGGGGCGAUGAGCUUGAGAGGGUACUUGGCGAAGCAUCUAGUCACCGUAGACUUGCCCCUACCUUCUCUGCCCGCACCAUGCCUGUCGCUGUCGGCGCCAUUGUUGCCUCCGCCUGUGCCUUCGUUUUUUGGGCUCUUUGCGAGAACGAGUCGACGAGAACGAAUUGAUUUACAAAGUAUGCCAUAGUAAAAUUUAUCAAACCUACACAAAAGGACCUAAUAUUAUUUUUUCAUUUCAAGGAUAAACCAAGAUAUCAGGGGGCUGUAUUUAUGAGCUAGUUAAUAACUUAAUCCAUCCUCACUGGAAUCCACAUAAGAAAGAAAUUCUCAUAGUUGAUCACAUCCAAAAUCAUUAGUAAUUGUUUUUUGUUUUCAAAUCAAGAUUGGAGUAAGGAUAGCGAGCAGUUAGAUAACAUAAAUAGUAGGGUGGCAUAAACCGAAAACAAAUAUUGGUUAUAGAAAGAAAUUGACAUUAGCAAUAGUAGUGGUACAUUUUGUUCUCCUUUUAAUUCAUGAUAAAAGUUCUGUUGCUAGAACCAUGCAGUUGUAGGUGUACAUGUGAUCAUUUCAGACUUGUACGUGUACAUGUGAUCAUUUCAUACUUUGAUAGAGUAUUUUAUGGACAAAUAGCAACUCUUUCUAUUGCUUGGAAGUCGAUACUAUUUGGAUGCACAAAAAAAUGUAAUAUUUGAUCAUCUUUUGGUAGUGGUCAUGACUGACACAUUUAUUUGUCAAAUUUUGAUAUUGCAAUUUUUUUUAGUGCAACGCUUGCUAAACUACCUAUCAACAUAGAGUGUGUGUUGGUGACCAUUAGGCACUACUUGACCAGAACAUGCAUUGCCAUUGCCAUCACCAUCACUAGUACUAGAUUGUUUCGUCCUUGGUUUAAACUUGGAUGGACCAACUGAAUUUUCUGUGUUCAGCAAAGCACUUGAACCAGACCCUAAGUUAUCCUAUGUGAAUCUUGUAGUUAGCAUACGCCCAACAAAUAGGUCUGCGACAUCGAUAUCUCCUUCAUACUGCAAAAGAGGGUAAACGUGGUUGAUUGUCUCGAUCUCUUCGACUCGUUCUCGAAAACUGGAGGCGGAGACGGAGGCAACAAUGGCACCGGCGGCGACAGGCGUGGUGCGGGUGGAGAAGGUGGGGGACAGGUCUGUGGUGACAAGGUGCUUCGCCAAAUACCCUCUCAAAUUCAUUACCCCCUCUAAGGUGGGCUUGGCAUCCUCCGGUGCCGCCUGGCUCUACACCAUCACCUACGGUGGCGGCAUUGUCUCUGGGGACGUCAUCUCUUGCGUGGUGGACAUCGGCGACGGGUGUACGACGGCGAUGACCACACAGGCCUCUACCAAGGUCAUUUUCUUUCCGUUGUUCUUUGCAUGUGUUUGCUCGAGUAAACAUUCUAUAUUUUGGUUUCUUUAUGUAAUGGAAAUGAGGAAAGUACGACAUUUGCUUCAGAAGAAGCCGUAGUCAACUACAAUCAAAGUACGUAGCCAAUAAUAUUGUGCAUAGACUCUAUGCAUUUCGUUAAUUGGCAAAAUUGAUAUAUAAGUUAGUGAACGAAUGUUCGGGCAUAAUCUAUAGUCAAUAUCGGAAUGUUGUACUCGUAAAACUUCGACCGAAAUUUGGUAAGGCCUCUAACCAAACAACACUGAACCGUACUUUCCCUUUACAAAAUUUGGCACUACUAGAGUCUGGUAGGGUUCUUUUUAGGGUUAGAAGUAAACAAGCCCUAAUGUCUCUUUCUGUUUUCAUGCACAUUGUAGAUGCCCAAACUUCGAGUAGCACAUUGCAAUAAUAUGGUGUUGCGCUUUGUGCGUCUUUGACACAUCAGCUAG